GACGAACGCUGGCGGCGUGCUUAACACAUGCAAGUCGAACGAAGAGCGAUGGUAGCUUGUUUGUAUCACUCUGAGUGGCGAAUGGGUGAGUAACGCGUAAUCAACCUGCCCUUCAGGGGGGGACAACAGUUGGAAACGACUGCUCAUACCGCAUCCGAUCCAACCUCGGCAUCGGGGAAAGAUGAAAGGUGGCCUCUAUGUAUAAGCCAUCACUCAAGGAGGGGAUUGCGUCGGAUUAGCUAGUUGGAGGGGUAACGGCCCACCAAGGCGAUGAUGAGUAGCCGGUCUGAGAGGAUGAACGGCCACAUUGGGACUGAGACACGGCCCAGACUCCUACGGGAGGCAGCAGUGGGGAAUCUUCCGCAAUGGACGAAAGUCUGACGGAGCAACGCCGCGUGAGUGAUGACGGCCGUCGGGUUGUAAAGCUCGGUUAAUCGGGACGAAAGGCCUUCUUGCGAAUAGUGAGAAGGAUUGACGGUACCGGAAUAGAAAGCCACGGCUAACUACGUG
rnacentral:rRNA from 1 species